rnacentral:tRNA from 1 species
GGCCCUAUAGCUCAGUUGGUUAGAGCACCCGGCUCAUAACCGGAUUGUCCCAGGUUCAAGUCCUGGUGGGGCCACCA